UACGGGGGGAGCAAGCGUUGUUCGGAUUUACUGGGCGUAAAGGGCGCGUAGGCGGCCAGCACAGGUCAGUUGUGAAAUCUCCGAGCUUAACUCGGAAAGGUCAACUGAUACUGUGCGGCUAGAGUGCGGAAGGGGCAACUGGAAUUCUUGGUGUAGCGGUGAAAUGCGCAGAUAUCAGGAGGAACACCGGUGGCGAAGGCGGGUCCCUGGGCCGAUACUGACGCUGAGGAGCGAAAGCGUGGGGAGCGAACAGG
rnacentral:rRNA from 1 species